rnacentral:rRNA from 1 species
UACGAAGGGGGCUAGCGUUGCUCGGAAUCACUGGGCGUAAAGCGCACGUAGGCGGAUUGCUAAGUCAGGGGUGAAAUCCUGGAGCUCAACUCCAGAACUGCCCUUGAUACUGGCGGUCUCGAGUCCGGGAGAGGUGAGUGGAAUUCCCAGUGUAGAGGUGAAAUCGUAGAUAUUGGGAAGAACACCAGUGGCGAAGGCGGCUCACUGGCCCGUAACUGACGCUGAGGUGCGAAAGCGUGGGGAGCAAACAGG